UAUUAUUUUGUUUAUAGCAAAUACAGUUGCAAAUAUAUUGUUUCAAUGUGUAGUUAAUGGUAUUAAUGUAUAGUAUAUGAUUUUAAUCUAUUUUAAUCUAUAGUAAUGGUAUUUUACCCAUGCCUUAUUUUGGGAUAUUUGUAACUUCUGCUGUCUUUAUCUUAGUAUUCUGGAAUACUAUGGUUUAUUUCGAAAAUGUUUCUCAGAUGUCGCAUGUUUUCCCAUUCUAGAUUGAUAGAUAGAAUUUACGGUAGCGUUCUUUGGCCUGCUGUCCAAAGAACAUAGAAAACAAUACGGAAUGCGAUCAUCUCAUGUGCGGUGGCACCACAAAGUAGAUUGCAGAAGUUAACUCAGCAGCAUGGACGCGUUCCAGGCACUUACUGCGACCGCAAGGGGCAACACGGUGGACACGAACAAAAAAACGCACAACUAAGCAAGGGGGAACCUGGACAGAUCCAUCAGGCAACGACAAAGAUGAUUAUCCAGACAUCCCCAACGUCAAAGCAGCAGUAUCUUUGGCCUCAGCAUCCUUAUUUUCCACUGGGCUUUGUGGACAGGAAUGUCUUUUUCGACAUGUUCCAACUUUAAACUGUUCAUCUCAUGCCUAAUAAUUGUCACUCAGCACUGACACCUGGUGGACGUUAUGUUGUCAUGCAGAUGUUGUUAUGCCUAAUAAGAACAGAUUCAGAUUUGAUUCUUAGUAGUUAUCUUGCUGACUGUUUCUUGUUGACUAAUACUUCUUGCGUAUGUACUGUUUUUACUCGCUUAUUGGUUUUCUUGCUUACUGCUUUUUCUAAAAUGUACAUAUUCA